rnacentral:lncRNA from 1 species
GGUGUCAUGUUACACCGGCUCAGAGGGAGAUCUUCUAUAGCCACUUACAGAUAAAAUAAUAUUUAGUAAAAUAUUUAAAUAAUAUUAUAUUCUUAUAAUAUUUAUUAUUGGUAGGCUAUAUUUGAUAUUAUUGAUUUUGAGCACGAUUAUAUGCGGCAAGCUAUGGAUGAUCAUUUAUGUUCGCAUUUCAAGGAUUACCACCAUUGCAUUCAUUGCCACUGAUAUGCUGUAGUGCAGGACCAGGGGGUGGAGGCAGUGUGGCAGCAGCCAUAUGAAAACAUCAGUAU